rnacentral:lncRNA from 1 species
GUUUAGGGUUUAGAGUUUAGGGUUAUAAGGGUGUCCCCGGUUUAGGAUUUAGGAUUUAGGGUUUAGGGUUACAUGGGUGUCCUAGAGGUUUUUGAUCCUCAAUAUCUCUCAAUAUAUCACAAUUUUUUUUAUUGUAAAAUUUUGCCAAGGCUUAGAGUGACCCAAAGAUCUCUAUAAAUGUUUUUAUUUUUUAAAAAUAUCUAUUUUUUUUUUUUUUUUUUUUUCUGUAAUUUAGGAUUUAUAAAUCCUAAUUAGGAUCUUCAGACCGUGAUUAGAGAUUUGACUUGCAUAUUUUUUCUCAUGUGAGAACUGUGUAUGGAGUCUAAAUGCGUACAAAACUUUGAUUAUCCAAAGCAAUCCCCCAUAGAUAGGUGGUUCACCUAGUCCAGGUCUAGAGAAUCCUUCAGGCUGCUUGUCCGUAUGUCUUUGCCCGCUCUCCACCUGCUGUACCACCGGCUCUCCUUCCAUCAGGAUCAUCAUUGACGGAGUCAAUAUCAGCUCCAUCUUCAAC